rnacentral:rRNA from 1 species
AUUGAACGCUGGCGGCAGGCCUAACACAUGCAAGUCGAACGAGUGGCGGACGGGUGAGUAUUGUCUGGGAAACUGCCUGACGGAGGGGGAUAACUACUGGAACCGUUAGCUAAUACCGCAAACCAUCAGUUGUGCCCUGAUGGGUUUGGCUAGUUGGUUGGGUAACGGCUCACCAAGACGACGAUCCCUAGCUGUUCUGAGAGGUAUACCGGCCACACUGGAACGUAGACACGGUCCAGACUCCUACGGGAGGCAGCAGUGGGGAAUAUUGCACAAUGGGCGCAAGCCUGAUGCAGCCAUGCCGCGUGUAUGAAGAAGGCCUUCGGGUUGUAAAGUACUUUCAGCGGGGAAGCGUUACACGCAGAGGAAGCACCGGCUAACUCCGUGCCAGCAGCCGCGGUAAUUC